rnacentral:rRNA from 1 species
UGGGGAAUUUUGGACAAUGGGCGCAAGCCUGAUCCAGCCAUGCCGCGUGCGGGAAGAAGGCCUUCGGGUUGUAAACCGCUUUUGUCAGGGAAGAAAUCUUCUGAGUUAAUACCUCGGGAAGAUGACGGUACCUGAAGAAUAAGCACCGGCUAACUACGUGCCAGCAGCCGCGGUAAUACGUAGGGUGCAAGCGUUAAUCGGAAUACUGGGCGUAAAGCGUGCGCAGGCGGUUUUNUAAGACAGAGGUGAAAUCCCCGGGCUCAACCUGGGAACUGCCUUUGUGACUGCAAGGCUUGAGUGCGGCAGAGGGGGGAUGGAAUUCCGCGCGUAGCGUGAAAUGCGUAGAUAUGCGGAGGAACACCGAUGGCGAAGGCAAUCCCCUGGGCCUGCACUGACGCUCAUGCACGAAAGCGUGGGGAGCAAAACAGGAUUAGAUCCCUGGUAGUCCACG